rnacentral:rRNA from 1 species
UACGUAGGGUGCGAGCGUUAAUCGGAAUUACUGGGCGUAAAGCGUGCGCAGGCGGUUCGUUAAGUCCGAUGUGAAAGCCCCGAGCUUAACUUGGGAAUGGCAUUGGAAACUGGCGGGCUGGAGUGUGGCAGAGGGGGGUGGAAUUCCACGUGUAGCAGUGAAAUGCGUAGAGAUGCGGAGGAACACCGAUGGCGAAGGCAGCCCCCUGGGCUAACACUGACGCUCAGGCACGAAAGCGUGGGGAGCAAACAGG